AUUGAACGCUGGCGGCAGGCCUAACACAUGCAAGUCGAGCGGAUGAAGGGAGCUUGCUCCUGGAUUCAGCGGCGGACGGGUGAGUAAUGCCUAGGAAUCUGCCUGGUAGCGGGGGAUAACGUCCGGAAACGGGCGCUAAUACCGCAUACGUCCUGAGGGAGAAAGUGGGGGAUCUUCGGACCUCACGCUAUCAGAUGAGCCUAGGUCGGAUUAGCUAGUUGGUGGGGUAAAGGCCUACCAAGGCGGCGAUCCGUAACUGGUCUGAGAGGAUGAUCAGUCACACUGGAACUGAGACACGGUCCAGACUCCUACGGGAGGCAGCAGUGGGGAAUAUUGGACAAUGGGCGAAAGCCUGAUCCAGCCAUGCCGCGUGUGUGAAGAAGGUCUUCGGAUUGUAAAGCACUUUAAGUUGGGAGGAAGGGCAGUAAGUUAAUACCUUGCUGUUUUGACGUUACCAACAGAAUAAGCACCGGCUAACUUCGUG
rnacentral:rRNA from 1 species